rnacentral:rRNA from 1 species
UAGCUUGCUACAUGACCUAGCGGCGGACGGGUGAGUAAUACUUAGGAAUCUGCCUAUUAGUGGGGGACAACGUUCCGAAAGGAGCGCUAAUACCGCAUACGCCCUACGGGGGAAAGCAGGGGAUCUUCGGACCUUGCGCUAAUAGAUGAGCCUAAGUCGGAUUAGCUAGUUGGUAGGGUAAAGGCCUACCAAGGCGACGAUCUGUAGCGGGUUUGAGAGGAUGAUCCGCCACACUGGGACUGAGACACGGCCCAGACUCCUACGGGAGGCAGCAGUGGGGAAUAUUGGACAAUGGGCGCAAGCCUGAUCCAGCCAUGCCGCGUGUGUGAAGAAGGCCUUAUGGUUGUAAAGCACUUUAAGCGAGGAGGAGGCUUACCUGGAUAAUACCUAGGAUAAGUGGACGUUACUCGCAGAAUAAGCACCGGCUAACUCUGUGCCAGCAGCCGCGGUAAUACAGAGGGUGCAAGCGUUAAUCGGAAUUACUGGGCGUAAAGCGCGCGUAGGUGGCCAUUUAAGUCAAAUGUGAAAUCCCCGAGCUUAACUUGGGAAUUGCAUUCGAUACUGGGUGGCUAGAGUAUAGGAGAGGAAGGUAGAAUUCCAGGUGUAGCGGUGAAAUGCGUAGAGAUCUGGAGGAAUACCGAUGGCGAAGGCAGCCUUCUGGCCUAAUACUGACACUGAGGUGCGAAAGCAUGGGGAGCAAACAGGAUUAGAUACCCUGGUAGUCCAUGCCGUAAACGAUGUCUACUAGCCGUUGGGUCCUUUGAGGACUUAGU